rnacentral:rRNA from 1 species
GAUGAACGCUGGCGGCGUGCCUAAUACAUGCAAGUCGAGCGAACGGACGAGAAGCUUGCUUCUCUGAUGUUAGCGGCGGACGGGUGAGUAACACGUGGAUAACCUACCUAUAAGACUGGGAUAACUUCGGGAAACCGGAGCUAAUACCGGAUGAUAUUUUGAACCGCAUGGUUCAAAAUUGAAAGACGGUCUUGCUGUCACUUAUAGAUGGAUCCGCGCUGCAUUAGCUAGUUGGUAAGGUAACGGCUUACCAAGGCAACGAUGGAUAGCCGACCUGGGAGGGUGAUCGGCCAAACUGGAACUGAGAAACGGUCCAGACUCCUAAGGGAGGCAGCAGUAGGGAAUCUUCCGCAAUGGGCGAAAGCCUGACGGAGCAACGCCGCGUGAGUGAUGAAGGUCUUCGGAUCGUAAAACUCUGUUAUUAGGGAAGAACAUAUGUGUAAGUAACUGUGCACAUCUUGACGGUACCUAAUCAGAAAGCCACGGCUAACUACGUG